CAGCCGCCGCGGGAAUACGUAGGUGGCAAGCGUUGUCUGGAUUUAUUGGGCGUAAAGCGAGCGCAGGCGGUCAAUUAAGUCUGAUGUGAAAGCCCCCGGCUCAACCGGGGAGGGUCAUUGGAAACUGGUUGACUUGAGUGCAGAAGAGGAGAGUGGAAUUCCAUGUGUAGCGGUGAAAUGCGUAGAUAUAUGGAGGAACACCAGUGGCGAAGGCGACUCUCUGGUCUGUAACUGACGCUGAGGCUCGAAAGCGUGGGUAGCAAACAGGAUUAGAUACCCCCGUAGUCCCUGUCUCUUAUAU
rnacentral:rRNA from 1 species